GCAUCUGUAGUGUAGUGGUUAUCACGAUUGCCUCACACGCAAUAGGUCCUCAGUUCGAACCUGGGCAGUUGCA
rfam:Daphnia pulex DAPPTscaffold_1_Cont63, whole genome shotgun sequence.